GAUGAACGCUGGCGGCGUGCCUAAUACAUGCAAGUCGAGCGAACGGACGAGAAGCUUGCUUCUCUGAUGUUAGCGGCGGACGGGUGAGUAACACGUGGAUAACCUACCUAUAAGACUGGGAUAACUUCGGGAAACCGUAGCUAAUACCGGAUAAUAUUUUGAACCGCAUGGUUCAAAAGUGAAAGACGGCCUUGCUGUCACUUAUAGAUGGAUCCGCGCUGCAUUAGCUAGUUGGUAAGGUAACGGCUUACCAAGGCAACGAUGCAUAGCCGACCUGAGAGGGUGAUCGGCCACACUGGAACUGAGACACGGUCCAGACUCCUACGGGAGGCAGCAGUAGGGAAUCUUCCGCAAAGGGCGAAAGCCUGACGGAGCAACGCCGCGUGAGUGAUGAAGGUCUUCGGAUCGUAAAACUCUGUUAUUAGGGAAGAACAUAUGUGUAAGUAACUGUGCACAUCUUGACGGUACCUAAUCAGAAAGCCACGGCUAACUACGUG
rnacentral:rRNA from 1 species